AACGAACGCUGGCGGCAGGCCUAACACAUGCAAGUCGAACGAAGCCUUCGGGCUUAGUGGCGGACGGGUGAGUAACGCGUGGGAACGUGCCCUUUGGUUCGGAAUAGCCCCGGGAAACUGGGAGUAAUACCGGAUGAGCCCUUCGGGGGAAAGAUUUAUCGCCAAAGGAUCGGCCCGCGUUGGAUUAGGUAGUUGGUGGGGUAAUGGCCUACCAAGCCGACGAUCCAUAGCUGGUUUGAGAGGAUGAUCAGCCACACUGGGACUGAGACACGGCCCAGACUCCUACGGGAGGCAGCAGUGGGGAAUCUUAGACAAUGGGGGAAACCCUGAUCUAGCCAUGCCGCGUGAUCGAUGAAGGCCUUAGGGUUGUAAAGAUCUUUCAGUGGGGAAGAUAAUGACGGUACCCACAGAAGAAGCCCCGGCUAACUCCGUGCCAGCCGCCGCAGUAA
rnacentral:rRNA from 1 species